AACGAACGCUGGCGGCAUGCCUAACACAUGCAAGUCGAACGAGACCUUCGGGUCUAGUGGCGCACGGGUGCGUAACGCGUGGGAACCUGCCCUUAGGUUCGGAAUAACUCCCCGAAAGGGGUGCUAAUACCGGAUAAUGUCUUCGGACCAAAGAUUUAUCGCCUUUGGAUGGGCCCGCGUUGGAUUAGCUAGUUGGUAGGGUAAAAGCCUACCAAGGCGACGAUCCAUAGCUGGUCUGAGAGGAUGAUCAGCCACACUGGGACUGAGACACGGCCCAGACUCCUACGGGAGGGAGCAGUGGGGAAUAUUGGACGAUGGGGGAAAGCCUGAUCCAGCAAUGCCGCGUGAGUGAUGAAGGCCUUAGGGUUGUAAAGCUCUUUUACCCGGGAUGAUAAUGACAGUACCGGGAGAAUAAGCACCGGCUAACUCCGUG
rnacentral:rRNA from 1 species